GAUUGUAGUCUGCAACCCGACUACAUGAAGCUGGAAUCGCUAGUAAUCGCGGAUCAGAAUGCCGCGGUGAAUACGUUCCCGGGUCUUGUACACACCGCCCGUCACACCAUGGGAGUCGGAAAUGCCCGAAGUCUGUGACCCAACCUGAGAGGGAGGGAGCAGCCGAAGGCAGGUCUGAUGACUGGGGUGAAGUCGUAACAAGGUACC
rnacentral:rRNA from 1 species